UUUCUCCAUGAAUCCCAGCUUCUGCUACUCUCUAGAACUUGUCAUACAGCAUGCUGUAGCUAAUCACAAUUGGCCAGUGGUUCUCUAGGCAGUACUGCAUGUACAUAAAGACAAACAACGACAGGCACCUCAUUGUAAAACGACAGCAGGAAUUCUACACUUUUGUCCUUGGCAGGAGCUUCAACAUCCACAGCUUUUAAGGUUCAGCCCUGUCCACAGACCUGAUAACAGAAGACAGACUCCUUCUAUGCUGCCUGGUUGCUUAUCUGAGCUGGAGUGCCAGGGAGGUUUUGUUACAGGCUCAGUGUCUAGCAGAACGGCUCCUUCUGCUUUGAAAGCAAUUCCCCACAAAGAUCAGGAGAUCCGAAGAUUCAGUGGGCGUCCUCCGAUCUCACAACCAAGCCAGCUUUCUCUUCUACACCCAGGAACUCAAGAGCACAUGUCAGCGAGUCACCACCUCUGGAGGAGAAAGGCCAACCCUGCAGGUGUCCGCUCCGAGCUCACUGGACGCCUGGCCAGCAGUCAGGAGUCAGCAGUGAGGAGAAGCAGUCCCUGUCGGUUUUGCCUCCCUAACCUACAGGAGUGCCAGAGCCAAUGAGAUGCUCCCUUCGGAAUCUCAAUAGAAGACUGGCAACUCGGCACAAACCGGGACGUGAGUCUGCGCUGUAUGACUCACCCUGCACACCACUCCGCUGCGCUUUUACCAGGGUUGCUUUGCCAUGGGUCAUGCAAACAGGAAAUGGAACAGGUCUGAAGUGCAUCUAAUUGGAGCCGUACAAAGAGACUCACUAAAGAGGUGACUUGAAAGCUAGGCUCACAGAUUUCAUUUUAAGAAUCACCCGCAGCAGCCAUCUCUCUCUCGCUCUCCGGAUGUGACCUUUGAGAGUUUUCUCCAGAUGGCGUUCCCAACCGUCUGUGCACCAAGAACUGACUUCAAACUAAUGGAGACAAGCAGCACGCUUUAAUAAGCUUUGUCUACCUUGUGUACCAUUUAUAACCGCUCGAUAUAGUUAAGCAGUUUCAUGGUAACAAAAAAACGAUGCAAUAAAUCACACAUGUUUCAUAUUUUCCUUUUAAAUGUAAUAGUUUCAUACUGAAUGUCCCUUAAAAACUGGAAUUCGUAACUAUUUCCAAUAGAACUUGAAAAUCUAAAAUAGAAAAUCCAGGCCAAUUUUUCCUGGAGAAAUAUGUAUUUGAUUAAAAUAUUUAAAAGGAAAUCAACAGGCUUUUGCUAUAUAUCUUUUGUAACCUUGCAACUGUUGAGCAGGACUGACUGAGAACUGUGUGACAUUGGACACAGUGUCAUUAAUAAAUAACAAUGUUAAAUGUUGUUCUAUGUUUUUUCAUAGAACAUAUUUAGACUAUAUUUCCAAAUCACUGAAAGCUGGUGUAGUCUAUUACUCUCAAUGUCUUGGAUUCUUUAUUAACUAUUAGGAGGCUGUGUGGUCCAGUGGUUAAAGAAAAGGGCUUGUAACCAGGAGGUCCCCAGUUCAAAUCCCACCUCAGCCACUGACUCAUUGUGUGACCCUGAGCAAGUCACUUAACCUCCUUGUGCUCCGUCUUUCGGGUGAGACGGAAUUGUAAGUGACUCUGCAGCUGAUAAAGGCGUCUGCUAAAUGAACAAAUAAUAAUAACUAGACUAUCGUUUUUUGGG